UACAGGGGGGGCAAGCGUUGUUCGGAAUUACUGGGCGUAAAGGGCUCGUAGGUGGCCAACUAAGUCAGACGUGAAAUCCCUCAGCUUAACUGGGGAACUGCGUCUGAUACUGGAUGGCUUGAGUUUGGGAGAGGGAUGCGGAAUUCCAGGUGUAGCGGUGAAAUGCGUAGAUAUCAUUUGGAACGCCAAUGGUGAAAACAGCUCGCUGGGGGUUUGCUGACGCUGAGACACGAAAGCCAGGGGAGCAAACGGG
rnacentral:rRNA from 1 species